rnacentral:rRNA from 1 species
GUACCCGCUGAACUUAAGCAUAUCAGUCAGCGGAGGAAAAGAAACCAACAGGGAUUGCCUCAGUAACGGCGAGUGAAGCGGCAAGCAAGCUCAGAUUUGAAAUCCGGCUCCUUGCGGGCAAGAGUUGUAAUCUGCAGAGGGUGUCUUGGGUUAGCCUCCCGCCGAGUUCCCUGGAACGGGACGCCGCAGAGGGUGAGAGCCCCGUGCGGCGGGCUGGCGAGCCCGUGUAAGACCCCUUCGAAGAGUCGCGUAGCUUGGGAAUGCUGCGCAAAGCGGGAGGUAUACCCCUUCUAAAGCUAAAUACCGGCUAGAGACCGAUAGCGCACAAGUAGAGUGAUCGAAAGAUGAAAAGCACCUUGGAAAGGGGGUUAAACAGUACGUGAAAUUGUUGAAAGGGAAGCGCCCGUGGUCAGACUCGCGCCCCAUGGACCAACCAGGCUACUCGCCUGGCACACGUCGUGUGGGCUCGGGCCAGCGUCGGUUCGCGCUCGGGGUCAAAAGGCGCGGGGAAGGUGGCUCCCUCUCGAGGGAGCGUUAUAGCCUCGCGUGAAAUGCCCCGGUGCGGACCGAGGUCUGCGUUAUUCGCAAGGACGCUGGCGUAAUGACCACUGGCGGCCCGUCUUGAAACACGGACCAAGGAGUCGUCCUCGCACGCGAGUGUUUGGGUGUAAAGCCCCUACGCGAAAUGAAAGUGAACGCUGGUGGGAGCCUCGGCGCACCACCGACCGAUCCUGAUGUACUCGGAUGGAUUUGAGUAAGAGCGUGCUGGGCCGGACCCGAAAGAGGGUGAACUAUGCGUAUCUAGGCUAAAGCCGGGGGAAACCCCGGUGGAAGGCCGCAGCGGUUCUGACGUGCAAAUCGAUCGUCAAAGACGCGCAUGGGGGCGAAAGACUAAUCGAACCUUCUAGUAGCUGGUUUCUGCCGAAGUUUCCCUCAGGAUAGCAGUGUCGAUCUCAGUUUUAUGAGGUAAAGCGAAUGAUUAGGGACUCGGGGGCGACGUACUGCCUUCAUCCAUUCUCAAACUUUAAAUAUGUAAGAAGCCCUUGUUACUUAAUUGAACGUGGGCGCUCGAAUGUACCGACACUAGUGGGCCAUUUUUGGUAAGCAGAACUGGCG